UCCUGAGUAAUUUACAGGACUGGUGUGAG
rnacentral:piRNA from 1 species